GUAUGACAGCACGAAGAGAGAAGGAUCAGUGUAUAGGAACACAGAAAAAGGGACCAACUAUUUACAGAAGAAAUAGUGUAAUUCGCCCAGCAAGCAAAGAUAAGUUUGAGUCACGUUUAAUCAACAUUGAAUAAGGAACUCUCUAUCAUUCCAUCCACAUGUUGACGUUCUUGGAAUUAAGACAGAAUUAAGGCGAAACAUGGUCGGGGAAUCGAGGCAGGAUAAUGCUACAGUAUCACGACUCCGCCUUAGUCGUCCUCACCAGUCAUGUCAGCUGGCUGAUAGCACACCUGAAGAGUCAUUGGCGAUAAAAAAAAACCGUUUGAUACUAUGACAUGGUCCUCAAGCAGCAAUGUUCGCCUACCAUAACCAGAGCUCACCAAGUCAACUGAAAAUGCUACCAUAGUAUGUCAACACACUAUUCCGCCACGUUUGACUUUUAACCCAUCAAUGCUGCCACUGCACCCUGGGAUUUCUCGCAGCCUUGGACGAUAUCAGCUGUAUGAUUUUGGCAAGCCUAGGACGAUGGCACCAACUAUAAUAAAGGAUAUUGGCAAACAUCACACCUUGGGACGUGAG